GACGAACCGAGCGAACGUUGUUCGGAAUCACUGGGCUUAAAGGGCGCGUAGGCGGGUGCUCAAGUCUGUGGCGAAAUCCUCCGGCUCAACCGGAGAACUGCCAUGGAUACUGGGUGCCUCGAGGGUGGUAGGGGUAUGCGGAACUAUCGGUGGAGCGGUGAAAUGCGUUGAUAUCGAUAGGAACUCCGGUGGCGAAGGCGGCAUACUGGACCACUUCUGACGCUGAGGCGCGAAAGCCAGGGGAGCAAACGGG
rnacentral:rRNA from 1 species